AGUACCACCUUGUACCGCUGUAAGGUAUACUAUCGUUGGCAGGUGAUCAUCCGUCUCUGAUCCGGUAGACCGGUCCGAUCGCUUUACGCGUGGGACACGCACGGAACAUCCAGGGCUCCACUUCGUGGCAGCGAUUCACGAGCCGGCAGAAGGCUUCGCGUGCCUUCUCUCUACUGUCAACUGGAAGGGCUGGAGAAGAGAUGCCGGUGAAUUUUCGUGCCCCCUUCCCCUGGUGGACGUCGCAGUUUCGGUCCUACCUGACAGAGGCCAAUCCAGGUGGUGCUCCUCUCGAGCGAGACGAGCUGCCUAGAGCAUGCUAGCCGGCCCAGCAAUGGCAAUA